rnacentral:rRNA from 1 species
AAUCAACGCUGGCGGCGUGCCUCAGACAUGCAAGUCGAACGAUUAAAGCUCUCUUCGGAGAGUGCAUAGAGUGGCGCACGGGUGAGUAACACGUAAGUAAUCUACCUUCGAGUGGGGAAUAACGUCCGGAAACGGACGCUAAUACCGCAUAAUGCAGCGGCAUCGCAAGAUGACAGUUGUUAAAGGAGCAAUUCGCUUGAAGGAGGAGCUUGCGGCAGAUUAGCUAGUUGGUAAGGUAAUGGCUUACCAAGGCUACGAUCUGUAACCGGUCUAAGAGGACGGUCGGUCACACUGACACUGAAUAACGGGUCAGACUCCUACGGGAGGCAGCAGUCGGG